rnacentral:tRNA from 1 species
GUUGUGGCUCAGUGGUAGAGCACUCACCUAGCACAUGCAAGGCCCAGCACCACAUAAAAAUAAAUAAAUAAAAUGAAGGUAUUGUAUCCAACUAUAACUAAAAAAUAAAUAUUUUAAAAAAGGAUUGAGGAUAUAUCUCAGAGUUAAAGUGAUUCUGGGUUCAAUCACCAAUAUUAACA